ACGACCAGAUCGUGGAUUACUGGUUAUUGGUCGGUACGAAUCAGAGGAAUUGGAGUAGUCCUACUUGGAGGAUUGGACUUUCUCUGAUCCACGCUUGCCUCUGGUCUUCUCGAGAAAAAGGGGAUCCCUUUUGUGUUCCUCAGGUAGACGACGGAGGCCGAGGUACUUGCAAAAUUCUCGCUGGAUUUGAUUUUCUGUUUGUUUCUCGGGAAUAUCGUCUAGGUUCGGUACUGGUGAGGAGAAGAUCCGUAAUGGGUAUCGUCGAAUUGUUGAAGACGGUGAACUGGGAGGUAGAAUCGUACCCGACUUACCACGAUUUCAGGGUUCUUCCUCUCUUCGCGAUUUUCUUCCCCUCUGUCCGGUUUCUCCUCGACAGACUCGUUUUCGAGAAAUUGGCAAAAAUUCUGAUCUAUGGAAAACAGCAGAAUAUGGGGGAUGACAUAAACGAGAGGAGGAAGAAAAUCCGAAAGUUCAAAGAGUCAGCAUGGAAGUGUGUUUACUACCUGUCAGCCGAGAUUCUUGCUCUAUCUGUGACUUUUAAUGAACCUUGGUUUAGGGAAACUCGAUACUUCUGGGUAGGCCCGGGAGAUCAGGUGUGGCCUGAUCAACAAAUGAAGGUAAAGUUGAAGUUUUUGUACAUGUUUGGUGCUGGGUUCUAUACAUACUCCAUAUUUGCUCUGAUAUUCUGGGAAACGAGGCGUUCUGACUUUGGAGUUUCCAUGGGUCAUCACAUCGCUACACUUAUUCUUAUCUUGCUCUCCUAUGUAUGUAGAUUCUCUCGAGUUGGUUCUGUUGUGUUGGCACUUCAUGAUGCCAGUGACGUGUUCCUGGAAGUCGGGAAGAUGUCCAAAUACAGCGGAGCUGAAACUAUUGCAAGCUUUUCAUUUAUUCUUUUCGUGUUGUCUUGGAUCAUACUUCGCCUCAUCUACUAUCCUUUCUGGGUCCUUUGGAGCACAAGCUAUGAAGUUACUUUGACGCUUGACAAGGAAAAGCACCCGGUUGAGGGACCAAUCUACUACUACAUGUUCAACACUCUUCUGUUUUGUUUGCUCGUCCUUCACGUUUAUUGGUGGGUCUUGAUAUUCAGAAUGCUUGUGAAACAAGUGCAGGCCAGAGGCAAGCUUAGUGAAGAUGUCAGAUCCGAUUCUGAAGAUGAAGAUGAGCAUGAAGAUUGAUAUCGAAGAUGUGUGUAACCUGCUAUACACUCAAUGGUGAACAUUCAUCAUUAUACUCAUUUGGACAGAGAGAGAGAGAGAAACGACUCGUCAGCCUUAGACAAGCACUUGAGUCAUCUCCCACAAGGGAUUGUAAGUUCCAUUAUGGAUCAGAUGAAGCCUUUUUGAUGGGUAGAAGAACUCUCUGGACAAAAGAAAAGUUUUUUUUUUAUCAUCAUCAUUUCCAGGAUUUGGAUCUUUUUUCUCGAUUGGGAUUGUGUCUGUUCAUUUUGUAGUUUGAUGGAUUCAAGAUUGUGAUUAAGACUGUUCAUUUGCUCCAUUUCUGA